UUAGGGUUAGGAUUAGGGUGGAGCUAGGGUUAGGGUUAGGGUUAGAGCUAGGGUUAGGGUUGGGGCUAGGGUUAGGGUUAAGGUUGGAGCUAGGGUGGGUUAGGGUUAGGGUUAGGGUUGGAGCAGGGUUAGGGUUAGGGUUAGGGUUGGAGUUAGGGUUAGUGUUGGAGCUAGGGUUAGGGUUGGGCUUGGAGCUAGGAUUUUUCUGAGUGCAAUGAACCAACUCCCGAGUCUCUAGGACGUUCCUAAAAAAAUUUGAUUUUUUUCCCAUAGGAAUGCAUGGGUUAGGGUUAGGGUUAGGGUUGGAGCUAGGGUUAGGGUUAGGGUUAGGGUUGGAGUUAGGGUUAGUGUUGGAGCUAGGGUUAGGGUUGGGCUUGGAGCUAGGAUUUUUCUGAGUGCAAUGAACCAACUCCCGAGUCUCUAGGACGUUCCUAAAAAAAUUUGAUUUUUUUCCCAUAGGAAUGCAUGGGUUAGGGUUAGGGUUAGGGUUAGGGUUGGAGCUAGGGUUAGGGUUAGGGUUAGGGUUGGAGUUAGGGUUAGUGUUGGAGCUAGGGUUAGGGUUGGGCUUGGAGCUAGGAUUUUUCUGAGUGCAAUGAACCAACUCCCGAGUCUCUAGGACGUUCCUAAAAAAAUUUGAUUUUUUCCCAUAGGAAUGCAUGGGUUAGGGUUAGGGUUAGGGUUAGGGUUAGGGUUGGAGCUAGGGUUAGGGUUAGGGUUAGGGUUGGAGUUAGGGUUAGUGUUGGAGCUAGGGUUAGGGUUGGGCUUGGAGCUAGGAUUUUUCUGAGUGCAAUGAACCAACUGCCAACCCAAUUUUGAGAAUUGUGUUAGGAGCACGUUUCAGGGCACGGGAGUCUAUAGAACCUAAUUCUGGGGAAGUUUUCAAAGUUUACUUAGGGUUUGGGUUAGGGUUAGGGUUGGAGCUAGGGUUAGGGUUAGGGUUAGGGUUGGAGUUAGGGUUAGGGUUAGGGCUUAGGGUUAGGGUUGGAGCUAGGGUUAGGGUUAGGGUUAGAGCCAGGGUUAGGGUUGGGGCUAGGGUUAGGGUUAAAAAUUGAUUUUCCCAUAGCAUGGGUUAGGGUUAGGGUUAGGGUUGGAGCCAGGGUUAGGGUUAGGGUUAGGGUUGGAGUUAGGGUUAGUGUUGGAGCUAGGGUUAGGGUUGGGCUUGGAGCUAGGAUUUUUCUGAGUGCAAUGAACCAACUCCCGAGUCUCUAGGACGUUCCUAAAAAAUUUGAUUUUUUUCCCAUAGGAAUGCAUGGGUUAGGGUUAGGGUUAGGGUUGGAGCUAGGGUUAGGGUUAGGGUUAGGGUUGGAGUUAGGGUUAGUGUUGGAGCUAGGGUUAGGGUUGGGCUUGGAGCUAGGAUUUUUCUGAGUGCAAUGAACCAACUCCCGAGUCUCUAGGAC